GGAUGCGAUCAUACCAGCACUAACGCACCGGAUCCCAUCAGAACUCCGUAGUCAAGCGUGCUUGGGCGAGAGUAGUACUAGGAUGGGUGACCCCCUGGGAAGUCCUCGUGUUGCAUCCU
rnacentral:rRNA from 1 species